rnacentral:lncRNA from 1 species
UCGGGUCAUUUUUCUCUUGAUGCAAAUAAUACAACGAAGGUCGUUCUCUCUCAAACACAGACGAAAACCCUAAACAAAUCCUCUCAUCAUCUACUCAUGUCACAAUAUUUUCAUGGUAUUAGAGCAGCGAUUCUGGUGUAUCUCGAGCUGCUCGUUCUUCCGAUUCUACCCUGGUUAUUUUUUGGUUGAGUUUUCUGGUCUCUUCUUGUCUCCAACUGUUCACAAAACAAUCGAAGAUUUUUUUCUUCAAAAGGUAUAAUUUCUCGUUGAUCUGUGCUCUAGACCAACGUUAGAGUCAUUUUUCCAAUGUUUUGGUUGAGAUUUGAAGAAAUGUUCACACUCUGAUUUGCUCAGCACUUGAAGCUAGGGUUAGCUAUGGUUUUCGUUAUCUAAAGGCCGUUCUUCUCCGGCAGCGAAGAAGUUGGAUAAAUUCAUUCUUCUCAUUGUGUUUAGGACUGAUGCAUGUAACUUUUGUGUUGAGAUUUUGUUGUAAAUCUAUUCCAUGUACUUUCAUUUUAUCGGCACUGUGUGAUAGCCUUGGGUUUCACUUAUACCUUUUCCCCCUAUCCUUCAAGUCCCUUUUUUGUACAUUCAUCUAAUAUUCCUGGUAUUUCAUUAGUUCCUGCUCCUUUUUCGGGUAUUUUGGGGGUUGGAGGAGAAAAAUGAUAGUUUCUUUAUCUGCUAAAAACAAAAUAGCUUUUCUUGAAGGUACAUGUCUUCGACCUGAACAAAAUUGUGGGAUAGGUGCAAUAAUAUGGUAAUAUCAUGGUUGAAAGCAUCAUUAUCCCUUGAGAUAGCUGAAAGUGUACAGUACUCUAAAACUGCUCAAAGCAUUUGGGUACAACUACAAACUAGGUAUGGG